UGUGAUCCGGGGGUGUCCGAAUGGGGAAACCUGGAAUGUCCGGAGUAGUGUCCGGUGGCCCUGCCCUGAAUGUAUAGGGGUGUGGGUGGUAACGCGGGGAAGUGAAACAUCUUAGUACCCGUAGGAAGAGAAAACAAGUGUGAUUCCGUGAGUAGUGGCGAGCGAAAGCGGAUCUAGGCUAAACCGGGCGCGCGUGAUAGCCGGCAGGCGUUGCGUGUUCGGGGUCGUGGGACCAUGUCGUGCUGGGGCUGCCGUCCUGGCGGGAAGUGAUCAAGCGUCGUGUUAGUCGAACGGUUCUGGAAAGGCCGGGCGUAGCGGGUGAUA
rnacentral:rRNA from 12 species